GACGAACGCUGGCGGCGUGCUUAACACAUGCAAGUCGAACGGAAAGGCCCUGCUUUUGUGGGGUGCUCGAGUGGCGAACGGGUGAGUAACACGUGAGUAACCUGCCCUUGACUUUGGGAUAACUUCAGGAAACUGGGGCUAAUACCGGAUAGGAGCUCCUGCUGCAUGGUGGGGGUUGGAGAGUUUCGGCGGUUGGGGAUGGACUCGCGGCUUAUCAGCUUGUUGGUGGGGUAGUGGCUUACCAAGGCUUUGACGGGUAGCCGGCCUGAGAGGGUGACCGGCCACAUUGGGACUGAGAUACGGCCCAGACUCCUACGGGAGGCAGCAGUGGGGAAUAUUGCACAAUGGGCGGAAGCCUGAUGCAGCAACGCCGCGUGCGGGAUGACGGCCUUCGGGUUGUAAACCGCUUUCGCCUGUGACGAAGCGUGAGUGACGGUAAUGGGUAAAGAAGCACCGGCUAACUACGUGCCAGCAGCCGCGGUGAUACGUAGGGUGCGAGCGUUGUCCGGAUUUAUUGGGCGUAAAGGGCUCGUAGGUGGUUGAUCGCGUCGGAAGUGUAAUCUUGGGGCUUAACCCUGAGCGUGCUUUCGAUACGGGUUGACUUGAGGAAGGUAGGGGAGAAUGGAAUUCCUGGUGGAGCGGUGGAAUGCGCAGAUAUCAGGAGGAACACCAGUGGCGAAGGCGGUUCUCUGGGCCUUUCCUGACGCUGAGGAGCGAAAGCGUGGGGAGCGAACAGGCUUAGAUACCCUGGUAGUCCACGCUGUAAACGGUGGGUACUAGGUGUGGGGUCCAUUCCACGGGUUCCGUGCCGUAGCUAACGCUUUAAGUACCCCGCCUGGGGAGUACGGCCGCAAGGCUAAAACUCAAGGGAAUUGACGGGGCCCCGCACAAGCGGCGGAGCAUGCGGAUUAAUUCGAUGCAACGCGUAGAACCUUACCUGGGUUUGACAUGGAUCGGGAGUGCUCAGAGAUGGGUGUGCCUCUUUUGGGGUCGGUUCACAGGUGGUGCAUGCCUGUCGUCAGCUCGUGUCGUGAGACGUUGGGUUAAGUCCCGCAACGAGCGCAACCCUUGUUCACUGUUGCCAGCACGUUAUGGUGGGGACUCAGUGGAGACCGCCGGGGUCAACUCGGAGGAAGGUGGGGAUGACGUCAAGUCAUCAUGCCCCUUAUGUCCAGGGCUUCACGCAUGCUACAAUGGCUGGUACAGAGAGUGGCGAGCCUGUGAGGGUGAGCGAAUCUCGGAAAGCCGGUCUCAGUUCGGAUUGGGGUCUGCAACUCGACCUCAUGAAGUCGGAGUCGCUAGUAAUCGCAGAUCAGCAACGCUGCGGUGAAUACGUUCCCGGG
rnacentral:rRNA from 1 species